UUAACUGGUGUGGUGUUGUAUUGAAUUGAAUACAUGUUAGAACUUAGAAGAUGUGUCAAGUUGAAGAACUUUGGGAGCUCUGAGAAGGGAAAGAACUGCUGCUGGAAUUGUACCCACAACUAGAGAUAUUGAAGAUGAAAUUGAAGAUUAUGCGAGCAUGCACAUUCGUUAUCUCAAAAGUUGGACCCCAAUAGUGAAGGCCGAAGUGUUUUACAAUUUAAGACCAGUUUGAUGUCUGUCAUUAAGCAAAAAAAGGAAGAUGGAAUCAUAGAUACAAGUAAGGACAUUAACCAAUUACAAGAGUUCUACGAGAGUUACAGAAAGAAGAAUAAUAUUGUGGAUGAGGAGGAAAUGGAAAUGCACUUCAGGGAAUCUGGCGACUUAAGCGGGUUAUCGAAUCAGAUUCUACAUCGACAGAGGAUCUGAUUGCUUACAACAUCAUCCCUAUAGAUGCUACUUCUUCGACAGAGGUGCAAGCAGCAGUGUCAGCUCUCAAGUAUUUCACUGCUUUGCCUAAACUGCCCAAUGCUUAUUUCAUUUCUCCUACAAGGAGUGCCAACAUAUUCGAUUUUCUGCAGUAUACUUUUGGAUUUCAGAAAGAUAAUGUAGCUAAUCAGCGUGAACACAUAGUUCAUCUUCUCGCAAAUGAGCAAUCUCGGCUUGGAGUGUUCCAGACAAAACCGAACCUGUAAGUAUUUGAUUCUCUCCGCUUUGAGGAUCAUUUGCCUUACAAUACAUGACAGAAAUGGAGUUUCUGGUGGCUGUGCUGGUGGUGGAUGAGGAGGAUUUUCACAAGCCAUCAGGAUCAGAUCAGAGGGUUGUUGAUGUUAUAGGAGGGUUUGAGAAUUCCGAGAGAGUGAAGAGAGUUCUAAAAGUGUUAUUGAAACUGAAAAUAAACUUAAUGAAGCAGCCUCGGAGAAAGUAUUCCUCAAGUCCCUUGAGAAUUACAUAAAUUGGUGCAACUACUUAUGCAUUCAGCCUGUUUGGAGCAGACAUUAAAGGGGCAUUUGUGGUUUUAGUUUGGAGGCUGUUAAUGAAGGGAAGAAAUUGCUGUAUGUUUCUUUAUACCUCCUAAUAUGGGGUGAAGCUUCCAAUGUCAGGUUUCUACCAGAAUGUUUGUGCUACAUAUUCCAUCAAAUGGCUAGAGAGAUGGAUCAUGAGAUCUUAAGGCAACAAAUUGCUCAGACUGUGUCUCAUUUCUUGAUCUUAAAGGACAGUGAUACUGAUACUAAGAGUCAUGCACAGUAGAAAUGGUUUGCUGAUUUAGAGUUUUCGAAUAACAAAUGUGUGAUUGAGUAAACAUGUAUCGUAAAUGUUUUCAAAUCAGGUUAUAAUAGAUUGGACCCUAAGGUGGCUUAACCUAUUGCAGAAUCCAUAAAAGAUGGAGCUUAAUAUCCUAUUGGGUUCUGACUAACUGUUAACUUCUAACUUCAAUACGUUUUUGGCUGAUGUGGUUAUUUGUUUAUCUUUCGUGUACAAUGCAGAAAAUGUUAUCUGGCAGAAGUCAAGGUCGGGGGAAAACAUCUUUUGUGGAGCAUCGGACUUUUUUUCAUCUUUAUCAUAGUUUCCACCGAUUGUGGAUAUUUCUUUUCAUCAUUUUCCAGGGUCUAGCAAUUAUUGCUUUCAAUGAUGGAAAAUUUAAUGCCAAGACCUUUCGAGAUGUUCUUAGUCUUGGACCUACAUUUGUUGUGAUGAAUUUUUUUGAGAGUGUCCUGGACAUUUUCAUGAUGUAUGGAGCAUAUACAACGAUGAGGCGCUUAGCUCUAAUUCGAAUUUUUCUAAGAUUUCUCUGGUUUGGCCUGACUUCAGUUUUUGUAACUUUCCUUUAUGUAAAAGCCCUCCAAGAAGAGAGUAAAAGAGUUGUAAUUCUGCAUUUAAAUUAGUAUUCAACACCAAUAAUCAAGAUUAUUAAUAGUUGCAAUUCCAUGGUUGCAUCAACAAAAUUAACAUUGAAGGGACUAUUGUUUGCAGAAGCAUGAGCUGCUGCAGCCAGAAUUCCGAUCGAUGUGCAUGCAUGCAUACUAUCCUCUCUCGCUUGAUAGAUUGGUCGGUUGCCUGUUUGCUCGAUCGUCUGAUCCCCAAAAGCAACUGCUGCUUUACAUCUCUGCCAAGAAGCUAGUAAAAUUGUAAGUUGCUAGCUUAAAACGAUUAUUAUAAAGUUUGACCUCAGACCAACAACAUAUUGAAAUAUAAUAACUAAGUAAUGAAACGAUUAUGUUCACUGAGAUAGAUUUUCGCUUCUAUUUCUCUUUUCGUAGUGGUUGUUGUUCUAACAAUUACCUCAUGAGAAAAUAUAUAGUAAUUGUGAUAAUAAUUGACAUUCGGUAUUUGUUGGUUGGUCAA